AUUGAACGCUGGCGGCAGGCCUAACACAUGCAAGUCGAGCGAGCGGCGGACGGGUGAGUAAUGUCUGGGAACUGCCCGAUUGAGGGGGAUAACUACUGGAAACGGUGGCUAAUACCGCAUACUGUCAGAUGACCAAUAUGGGAUUAGCUAGUAGGUAGGGUAACGGCUUACCUAGGCGACGAGCCCUAGCUGGUCUGAGAGGAUGAUCAGCCACACUGGGACUGGGACACGGCCCAGACUCCUACGGAGGCAGCAGUGGGGAAUAUUGCACAAUGGGCGCAAGCCUGAUGCAGCCAUGCCGCGUGUAUGAAGAAGGCCCUAGGGUUGUAAAGUACUUUCAGUCGGGAGGCGUUACCGACAGAAGAAGCACCGGCUAACUCCGUGCCAGCAGCCGCGGUAAUAC
rnacentral:rRNA from 1 species